rnacentral:rRNA from 1 species
UACGGAGGGAGCUAGCGUUGUUCGGAAUUACUGGGCGUAAAGCGCGCGUAGGCGGCUUUGUAAGUUAGAGGUGAAAGCCCGGGGCUCAACCCCGGAAUUGCCUUUAAGACUGCAUCGCUUGAAUCCGGGAGAGGUGAGUGGAAUUCCGAGUGUAGAGGUGAAAUUCGUAGAUAUUGGGAAGAACACCUGAGGCGAAGGCGGGUUGCUGGGCUGACACUGACGCUGAGGCGCGAAAGCCAGGGGAGCAAACGGG